AAGAGCCAUGAGCUAAUAGAUCAC
rnacentral:siRNA from 1 species